UUUGCCCAGCCAAGUGUAGUUUCUGGCGGAUUUUCUUGCUGGGAAGCGUCUGGCUGGACUAUGUGGGCUCGGUGCUGGCUUGCCCUGCAAAUUGUGUCUGCAGCAAGACUGAGAUCAAUUGCCGGCGGCCGGACGAUGGGAACCUCUUCCCCUCCUGGAAGGGCAGGAUUCAGGGAAUAGCAAUGGGAACGCCAGUAUCAACAUCACGGACAUCUCAAGGAAUAUCACUUCCAUACACAUAGAGAACUGGCGAGGCCUGCACACCCUUAAUGCUGUGGAUAUGGAGCUCUACACAGGACUCCAGAAGCUGACCAUCAAGAACUCUGGACUCCGGAACAUCCAGCCCAGGGCCUUUGCCAAGAACCCCCAUUUGCGUUAUAUGUGAGUAGAACUGG